rnacentral:rRNA from 1 species
CCUACGCGUGGCAGCAGUGGGGAAUAUUGGGCAAUGGAGGCAACUCUUACCCAGCAAUGCCGCGUGAAUGAAGAAGGUCUUCGGAUUGUAAAGUUCUUUAAUUGGGGACGAAAAAAAUGACGGUACCCAAGGAAUAAGCCCCGGCUAACUACGUGCCCGCAGCCGCGGUAAUACGUAGGGGGCAAGCGUUGUUCGGAAUGACUGGGCGUAAAGGGUGUGUAGGCGGUGUAGCAAGUUAGAAGUGAAAUACCUAGGGCUUAACCCAGAUGCUGCUUCUAGAACUGCUAUACUUGAGUGCAGUAAAAGAAAGUGGAAUUGCGAGUGUAGCGGUGGAAUGCGUAGAUAUUAGGAGGAACAUCAGUGGCGAAGGCGACUGUCUGGACUGUAACUGACGCUGAGGCACGAAAGUGUGGGGAGCAAACAGGAUUAGAUACCCGUGUAGUC